GGGCUAAUUUAGAACCAAUUUGAGCCAAAUUGGAUUUGGUCUUGAAGUGGGUUCGAAGUGUUUUAAUUGGGCUUGCUGUUGGGUGCCAAAAACCAGGGAACCACAUGCCUAAGAGUCUCUCUCUUGGCGUGUGGAUUUGAAUCCAUGCGCAUGAACCACAUGGCACAUGGAUGGAGUUGGCGCAACCUUUAGAUAAGGCCUUUCCUAUUUUUUCUCCGUGACUUU
rnacentral:lncRNA from 1 species